GGUUCGGGUCUCACGUAGUGAGACAACGGAGCCGCUUGCGGCGACGGCCCGAAGGGCGAGCGAAGCGAGUCAUCCUGCACGACCCACCA
rnacentral:sRNA from 1 species